AUCAUUGCAAAUGAUGGGCUUUAGAGGAUAUAAAAGGGGAUUAGGAGAGAGAGUGGCCGGCUCUUGCUUCAUUUCCGUCCAAGAGAGGUGUGCGAGAGAGAGGGUUUGAGAGAAAGAGAGAAACCGAGAGGGAAGGAGGCGGAGCCGAGAGGGAGGUGCCGCCGUUCGUCUGCCGUCCGACCGUCCUACGCCGCCGUGUGUUGCUGUGUGUUCUUCUUUAAGGCAAGUGGGGGUCCAUAACUUCUCUUGCAUGUUGUUUUUGUUGGUUGCAUGUUAGAUUUUAGGUGUGGUUUGGGCGAAGAACCGAGGUAAGGAUUGCAUGUGUUCAUGUAAUGUGGCUGUUUCCGUUCGGUUUGUGGUAGACGGUUUCCUAUUCGAGCUUGCAUGUGUAUUUGGAGUGUGAUUUUGGCUUCGGUGUCUUCAUGAAAGUUGAAGCUAACAUCUUGAGGUAUGACAUACUCGAAUUUCAUGGAAAAUGAAGGUGAUAUGAGGGGUCAAAAGUUCUAUUUCACGGAGGCUUUAGAUCUGCGAAUUUCCUACUGACCUCUUGAUGAUUUCUUGGUUGCAUGUUGAUUUCUGUUGGAGAUCUCACUUUGUUGUCUUCAUGAAUGUUGUAGAUAACAUCCUAAACUAUAACAUACUCAAAUUUGAGGAGAAACAAAUGAGUAUAUCCUAGUUAACCAGCUAGAUCUUUGAGACGGAUGGUUCUGUUGAAGUGAACCGAGACACCCGAGACUUCAAGGACCUAAAAGAGGAUCAUACUUUGGUUAUUUAACCUAGAUCUCUUCAUGAAACUUGUAAAGGACACAUUGACAUAUAACAUACUCGAAGUUCAGAAGAAACGAAAGAGAUUUGAUGGGUCAAACCUAAGUUUUUCGGUGAUGUACACUCUGGACGAAACGGUAGAGGUUCCAGAAGCUUCAUGGAGUUGUAUAAAUUAAUCUAUAAAGAAUUUGGCUUAGAGUUCUACAUGAAAAAUGCACGAAAAUGUGUUGGAUAUCACCCUGUAAAAUUUGGGAAUUUUCGGAGGUCAUAUGAGUAUUUUAAUUGAAUUAAUUCGAAAACUGUGCAAAUCUGGCCAUUUUCCGAAUAUUGUGAGUAUUUUGUGGAAAUUUGGGAAAUUAUGUAAAAUGCAAAUUAGCCAUGGAUUUUAUGUGAAAUUUGAUUUUAAUUGUUGGUUUGAUGAUUGAUUGAAGAUUAUGAUUUUUGGAAAAUCAUAAAUAUUAAAUAUAAUAUUUAUUUAUGAAAAUAUAAUAAUAAAAUAAUAAAAUAAUAAAAUAAUAAAAUAAUAAUAAAAUAAA
rnacentral:lncRNA from 1 species